CCUACGGGCGGCAGCAGUGAGGAAUAUUGGUCAAUGGGCGCGAGCCUGAACCAGCCAAGCAGCGUGAAGGAUGACUGUCUUACGGGUUGUAAACCUAUUUUAUAAGGGAAAAAUGUGUGGGACGUGUCCUGUUUUGCAUGUACCUUACGAAUAAGGAUCGGCUAACUCCGUGCCAGCAGCCGCGGUAAUACGGAGUAGCCGAGCGUUAUCCGGAGUUAUGGGGUGUAAGGGGUGCGUAGGCGGCCGUGUAAGUUAGCGGUGAAAGACUGUGGCGCAACCAUAGAAUUGCCGUUGAAACUGGGAGGCUGGAGUAUGUGUGAGGCAGGCGGAAUGCGUGGUGUAGCGGUGAAAUGCUUAGAUAUCACGAGGAACACCGAUUGCGAAGGCGGCCUGCCAGACCAUAACUGACGCUGAUGCGCGAAAGCGUGGGGAGCAAACAGGAUUAGAUACCCGGGUAGUC
rnacentral:rRNA from 1 species